rnacentral:rRNA from 1 species
CGGCGUGCCUAAUACAUGCAAGUCGAACGGAAAGGCUCCUUCGGGAGUACUCGAGUGGCGCACGGGUGAGUAACGCGUGGAUAAUCUGCCCUUGACUGGGGAAUAACCCACCGAAAGGUGGGCUAAUACCGCAUGAGACCACAGCAUCUGCGGAUGCAGGGGUUAAAGUUUUUCGGUCAAGGAUGAGUCCGCGUAUGAUUAGCUUGUUGGUAGGGUAACGGCCUACCAAGGCUCCGAUCAUUAGCUGGUCUGAGAGGAUGAUCAGCCACACUGGAACUGAGACACGGUCCAGACUCCUACGGGAGGCAGCAGUAGGGAAUAUUGCGCAAUGGGGGAAACCCUGACGCAGCGACGCCGCGUGAGUGAUGAAGGCUUUAGGGUUGUAAAGCUCUGUUCUUAGGAAAUAAGUUCUGAAGGUACCUAAGAAGAAAGGACCGGCUAACUUCGUGCCAGCAGCCGCGGUAAUACGAGGGGUCCUAGCGUUGUUCGGAAUCAUUGGGCGUAAAGCGGGUGCAGGUGGCCACGUAAGUCAGAUGUGAAAUCCCAGGGCUUAACCCUGGACGUGCAUUUGAUACUGCGUGGCUUGAGUACUGGAGAGGGCAGUAGAAUUCCUGGUGUAGUGGUGAAAUACGUAGAUAUCAGGAGGAAUACCGGUGGCGAAGGCGGCUGCCUGGCCAGAUACUGACACUCAGACCCGAAAGCGUGGGUAGCAAACAGGAUUAGAUACCCUGGUAGUCCACGCCGUAAACAAUGAACACUUGGUGUUGGUGGUUUUGACCCCAUCAGUGCCGUAGCUAACGCGUUAAGUGUUCCGCCUGGGGAGUACGGUCGCAAGAUUAAAACUCAAAGAAAUUGACGGGGGCCCGCACAAGCGGUGGAGCAUGUGGUUUAAUUCGAUGCAACGCGCAGAACCUUACCUGGUCUUGACAUCUAGUGGAAGGCUACCAGAGAUGGUGCCGC